rnacentral:tRNA from 3 species
GCCGGCUUAGCUCAGUUGGUAGAGCACCGCUCUUGUAAAGCGGGGGUCGUGGGUUCGAGCCCCUCAGCCGGCACC